UACGUAGGUCCCGAGCGUUGUCCGGAUUUAUUGGGUGUAAAGGGAGCGCAGGCGGCACGGCAAGCCUGAUGUGAAAGCCCGCGGCCCAACCCCGGGACUGCUCUGGAAACUGGUGGGCUAGAGUGCUGGAGAGGUAAGUGGAAUUCCUAGUGUAGCGGUGAAAUGCGUAGAUAUUAGGAGGAACACCAGUGGCGAAGGCGGCUUACUGGACAGUGACUGACGUUGAGGCUCGAAAGCGUGGGGAGCAAACAGG
rnacentral:rRNA from 1 species